rnacentral:misc_RNA from 1 species
GUGAAUCAUCGAAUCUUUGAACGCACCUUGCGCUCCUUGGUUUUCCGAGGGGCAUGCCUGUUUGAGUGUCACGAAUUUCUCAAACCUCACAAUUUGAUUAUAUAUUGUUGAGGCUUGGAUCAUGGAGGCCAUUGCUGGAUUUUAACAAGUCAGCUCCUCUGAAAUGCAUCAGUGAACCUAGUCGCCCUUGUUUUCCUUGUUGGCUUUGGUUUGAUAAGGUCUAUGCCAUCGCCGCUAUUCACGCGAAAAUACGCAAGGAGCUUUCUUUUGGUUUGCUACAAACCCUAACCUCAUUGACAC